UACGAAGGGGGCUAGCGUUGUUCGGAAUCACUGGGCGUAAAGGGUGCGUAGGCGGGUCUUUUAAGUCAGAGGUGAAAUCCUGGAGCUCAACUCCAGAACUGCCUUUGAUACUGAGGAUCUUGAGUACGGGAGAGGUGAGUGGAACUGCGAGUGUAGAGGUGAAAUUCGUAGAUAUUCGCAAGAACACCAGUGGCGAAGGCGGCUCACUGGCCCGUUACUGACGCUGAGGCACGAAAGCGUGGGGAGCAAACAGG
rnacentral:rRNA from 1 species